AGAUUAAGUUAUUAAGGGCGCACGGUGGAUGCCUUGGCACUAGAAGCCGAUGAAGGACGUUACUAACGACGAUAUGCUUUGGGUAGCUGUAAGUAAGCGUUGAUCCAGAGAUUUCCGAAU
rnacentral:rRNA from 2 species